UUCAACACCCCUAGGAGCCUCUGUAAU
rnacentral:piRNA from 1 species